rnacentral:rRNA from 1 species
UACGGGGGGAGCAAGCGUUGUUCGGAUUUACUGGGCGUAAAGGGCGCGUAGGCGGGUUCGCAAGUCUGUGGUGAAAUCCUCCAGCUUAACUGGAGAAGUGCCGUGGAUACUGCGAAUCUUGAGGAGGGUAGGGGCGUCUGGAACGGUCGGUGGAGCGGUGAAAUGCGUUGAUAUCGACCGGAACUCCGGUGGCGAAGGCGAGGCGCUGGACCCUUUCUGACGCUGAGGCGCGAAAGCCAGGGGAGCAAACGGG